AGUUAAUUAGCUUAUAAUAAAAGCAUGUAUUUUGAAAAUACAAAAAAGAUAUUAAUAAAUCUAUUAACUU
rnacentral:tRNA from 1 species